rnacentral:rRNA from 1 species
GAUCCCCGAAUUAGCGGAGAUCGCCCGUAAUAACCAAACGAUAUUUGAGGAGACACAAAAAGAAUACGAUAUCCAUUACUGUGAGAUACGCUAUAUCACGUUCGCCCACGACGAGGCUACCUACAAUGAUCUGGAACGUUCCUGCGGUUGGUCCAACGCUUAUUUGAUCGACAAGAAAGACUUCCAGAAAGAGGUGUCCCCCUACUUCAACACGAAUCAAAACACCUAUUUCGCCGCACAAAUCUCCCAGCAUUGUUGGCAAGCUACCCCGGGGCGUGUGAUAGACUUUAUACGAAACAAAGGCAAAGAGCGGCAAGGUGAGGUUUGGGAAGACACACACCUAGUGGAAGUACACAAAAACGGUGGAAAAUAUCACGUCUUAUUAUAUACGCAUGAUAAGCGAUACAUCGAAUACGAAUGCGAUCAUUUCGUGAACGCCCUCGGUUAUAGCGCCGAGCGUUUCGCCCGCAUGCUAGGUCUUUACACCGGCCUCUAUCCGGUCAAGCACCAAGCGUUGAUUACCCAUCGCCUACCGAAUCUGGGUAAAAACGGGGAUAUCCUCGAUAUGUUGAUAGACCGCCGGAAACGUAACGACUUCUCCGCUGUCUCGACCAUGAACUCGGUGAAAUUGCAGUACGAGUAAAGAUGCUCGUUAAGCGCAGAAGGACGAAAAGACCCCGGGACCUUUACUAUACCUUGGUAUUGGCAUUCGGUGUGGAUUGUGUAGCAUAGGCGGGAGGCCGAGAGGCGCGGUCGCCAGAUCGCGCGGAGCCGUAAGGUGAAAUACCGCUCUGUUCGCAUUGGAUGUCUAACCUCGAACAGUCAUCCUGUUCAGGGACAGUGCCUGGCGGGUAGUUUAACUGGGGCGGUUGCCUCCCAAAGAGUAACGGAGGCGCCCAAAGGUCCGCUCAGCCCGGUUGGCAAUCGGGUGGCGAGUGCAAGUGCACAAGCGGGCUUGACUGCGAGGACGACGGUCCGAGCAGGGACGAAAGUCGGGACUAGUGAUCCGGUGCCGGUGUACGGACGCGGCAUCGCUCAACGGAUAAAAGGUACCCCGGGGAUAACAGGCUGAUCAUUCCCAAGAGUCCAUAUCGACGGGAUGGUUUGGCACCUCGAUGUCGGCUCGUCGCAUCCUGGGGCUGGAGCAGGUCCCAAGGGUUCGGCUGUUCGCCGAUUAAAGCGGCACGCGAGCUGGGUUCAGAACGUCGUGAGACAGUUUGGUCUCUAUCCUCUGCGCUCGUUGGAAUGCUGAGGAGGCCUGCCCAUAGUACGAGAGGACCUGGGUGGACGAACCUCUGGUAUGCCGGUUGUCACGCCAGUGGCACGGCCGGUUGGCUACGUUCGGAAGGGAUAACCGCUGAAAGCAUCUAAGCGGGAAGCCUGCUCCAAGAUAAGCAUUCCGUGGAACCUUCGAGUUCCUGUAGUCCCCAUGCAGAACACGUGGUCGAUAGGCCGGACGUGGAAGCCCCGCGAGGGGUGGAGCCGACCGGUACUAACGGACGAAAGGCAACACUA